rnacentral:rRNA from 1 species
AUUGAACGCUGGCGGCAGGCUUAACACAUGCAAGUCGAGCGGGGAGAUGUAGCUUGCUACAUUUCCUAGCGGCGGACGGGUGAGUAAUGCUUAGGAAUCUGCCUAUUAGUGGGGGACAACGUUUCGAAAGGAACGCUAAUACCGCAUACGCCCUACGGGGAAAGGCAGGGGAGUCACUUGUGACCUUGCGCUAAUAGAUGAGCCUAAGCCAGAUUAGCUAGUUGGUGGGGUAAAGGCCUACCAAGGCGACGAUCUGUAGCGGGUCGUGAGAGGAUGAUCCGCCACACUGGGACUGAGACACGGCCCAGACUCCUACGGGAGGCAGCAGUGGGGAAUAUUGGACAAUGGGGGAACCGUCGAUCCAGCCACUGCCGCGUGUGUGAAG